rnacentral:rRNA from 1 species
AAUGGGCGCAAGCCUGACGGAGCAAGACCGCGUGAGGGAAGAAGGUCUGUGGAUUGUAAACCUCUUUUGAUAGGGAAGAAGACAGUGACGGUACCUAUCGAAUCAGCCUCGGCUAACUCCGUGCCAGCAGCCGCGGUAAUACGGAGGAGGCAAGCGUUAUCCGGAAUUAUUGGGCGUAAAGAGUCCGUAGGUGGGUAACCAAGUCAGCUGUUAAAUAGUGAAGCUUAACUUCAUAGAGGCGGCUGAAACUGGUUGUCUAGAGUGUGGUAGGGGUAGAGGGAAUUUCCAGUGUAGCGGUGAAAUGCGUAGAUAUUGGAAAGAACACCGGUGGCGAAAGCGCUCUACUGGGCCUGCACUGACACUGAGGGACGAAAGCUAGGGGAGCGAAAGGGAUUAGAUACCCC